UUCGGCGGUUAUAGCGUAGGGGAAACACCCGGUCCCAUUCCGAACCCGGAAGUUAAGCCCUUCAGCGCCGAUGGUACUGCGCGGGGGACCGCGUGGGAGAGUAGGACGCCGCCGGAC
rnacentral:rRNA from 1 species